rnacentral:rRNA from 1 species
GACGAACGCUGGCGGCGUGCCUAAUACAUGCAAGUUGAGCGCUGAAGGUUGGUACUUGUACCAACUGGAUGAGCAGCGAACGGGUGAGUAACGCGUGGGGAAUCUGCCUUUGAGCGGGGGACAACAUUUGGAAACGAAUGCUAAUACCGCAUAAAAACUUUAAACACAAGUUUUAAGUUUGAAAGAUGCAAUUGCAUCACUCAAAGAUGAUCCCGCGUUGUAUUAGCUAGGUGGUGAGGGAAAGGCUCACCAAGGCGAAGAUACAUAGGCGACCUGAGAGGGUGAUCGGCCACAUUGGGACUGGGACACGGCCCAAACUCCUACGGGAGGCAGCCGUAGGGAAUCUUCGGCAAAGGACGAAAGUCUGACCGAGCAACGCCGGGUGAGGGAAGAAGGUUUUCGGAUCGUAAAACUCUGUUGGUAGAGAAGAACGUUGGGGAGAGUGGAAAGCUCAUCAAGUGACGGUAACUACCCAGAAAGGGACGGCUAACUACGUG